UACGGAAGGGGCAAGCGUUGUUCGGAAUUAUUGGGCGUAAAGGGCGCGUAGGCGGCUCCAUAUGUCGGCGGUGAAAGCAUACAGCUCAACUGUAUUGAGCCGCGGAAACUGUGGGGCUUGAGGCUGGGAGGGGCUGGUGGAAUUCCCUGUGUAGCGGUGAAAUGCGUAGAUAUCGAGAGGAACACCUGCGGCGAAGGCGGGUUGCUGGGCUGACACUGACGCUGAGGAGCGAAAGCUAGGGGAGCAAACGGG
rnacentral:rRNA from 1 species